CCUACGGGUGGCAGCAGUCGAGAAUCAUUCACAAUGGGGGAAACCCUGAUGGUGCGACGCCGCGUGGGGGAAUGAAGGUCUUCGGAUUGUAAACCCCUGUCAUGUGGGAGCAAAUUAAAAAGAUAGUACCACAAGAGGAAGAGACGGCUAACUCUGUGCCAGCAGCCGCGGUAAUACAGAGGUCUCAAGCGUUGUUCGGAAUCACUGGGCGUAAAGCGUGCGUAGGCUGUUUCGUAAGUCGUGUGUGAAAGGCGCGGGCUCAACCCGCGGACGGCACAUGAUACUGCGAGACUAGAGUAAGGGAGGGGGAACCGGAAUUCUCGGUGUAGCAGUGAAAUGCGUAGAUAUCGGGAGGAACACUCGUGGCGAAGGCGGGUUCCUGGACAUUAACUGACGCUGAGGCACGAAGGCCAGGGGAGCGAAAGGGAUUAGAUACCCUGGUAGUC
rnacentral:rRNA from 1 species